rnacentral:rRNA from 1 species
AUUGAACGCUGGCGGCAUGCCUUACACAUGCAAGUCGAACGGUAACGCGGGGCCACCUGGCGACGAGUGGCGAACGGGUGAGUAAUGCAUCGGAACGUGCCCAGAAGUGGGGGAUAGCCCGGCGAAAGCCGGAUUAAUACCGCAUGAGACCUGAGGGUGAAAGCGGGGGAUCGCAAGACCUCGCGCUUUUGGAGCGGCCGAUGUCAGAUUAGCUAGUUGGUGGGGUAAAGGCCUACCAAGGCGACGAUCUGUAGCUGGUCUGAGAGGACGACCAGCCACACUGGGACUGAGACACGGCCCAGACUCCUACGGGAGGCAGCAGUGGGGAAUUUUGGACACUGGGCGCGAGCCUGCUCCAGCCGUGCCGCGUGCGGGAAGAAGGCCUUCGGGUUGUAAACCGCUUUUGUCAGGGAAGAAACGCUCUGGGCUAAUACCCUGGGGUAAUGACGGUACCUGAAGAAUAAGCACCGGCUAACUACGUG